rnacentral:rRNA from 1 species
GCCUAGGAAUCUGCCUGGUAGUGGGGGACAACGUUUCGAAAGGAACGCUAAUACCGCAUACGUCCUACGGGAGAAAGCAGGGGACCUUCGGGCCUUGCGCUAUCAGAUGAGCCUAGGUCGGAUUAGCUAGUUGGUGGGGUAAUGGCUCACCAAGGCGACGAUCCGUAACUGGUCUGAGAGGAUGAUCAGUCACACUGGAACUGAGACACGGUCCAGACUCCUACGGGAGGCAGCAGUGGGGAAUAUUGGACAAUGGGCGAAAGCCUGAUCCAGCCAUGCCGCGUGUGUGAAGAAGGUCUUCGGAUUGUAAAGCACUUUAAGUUGGGAGGAAGGGCAUUAACCUAAUACGUUAGUGUUUUGACGUUACCGACAGAAUAAGCACCGGCUAACUCUGUGCCAGCAGCCGCGGUAAUACAGAGGGUGCAAGCGUUAAUCGGAAUUACUGGGCGUAAAGCGCGCGUAGGUGGUUUGUUAAGUUG